rnacentral:rRNA from 1 species
AGUAGUUGAGUCCUGCUCAAGAACACGCUGGCGGCAGGCUUAACACAUGCAAGUCGAGCGCCCCGCAAGGGGAGCGGCAGACGGGUGAGGUAACACGUGGGAACGUACCCAUCUCUGCGGAACAACUCCGGGAAAACUGGAGCUAAUACCGCAUACGCCCUUAGGGGGGAAAGAGUUUAUCGGAGAUGGAUCGGCCCGCGUUGGAUUAGCUAGUUGGUGGGGUAAAGGCCUACCAAGGCGACGAUCCAUAGCUGGUCUGAGAGGAUGAUCAGCCACAUUGGGACUGAGACACGGCCCAAACUCCUACGGGAGGCAGCAGUGGGGAAUAUUGGACAAUGGGCGCAAGCCUGAUCCAGCCAUGCCGCGUGAGUGAUGAAGGCCUUAGGGUUGUAAAGCUCUUUCAACGGUGAAGAUAAUGACGGUAACCGUAGAAGAAGCCCCGGCUAACUUCGUG